UCUUGGUCAUUUAGAGGAAGUAAAAGUCGUAACAAAGGUUUCCGUAGGUGAACCUGCGGAAGGAUCAUUAAUGAAAUUAUAAUCCGGCGAGGGGAAAGGCGGAGAGUUGUAGCUGGCCUCUAGGGGCAUGUGCACGCUCUCUUCCGGACCUUUCGCCGUAUGGGCGCGGGGCGACCCGCGUCUUCAUAUACCUCUUCGUGUAGAAAGUCUUUGAAUGUUUUACCAUCAUCGAGUCGCGACUUCUAGGAGACGCGAUUCUUUGAGAAAAAAGUUAUUACAACUUUCAGCAACGGAUCUCUUGGCUCUCGCAUCGAUGAAGAACGCAGCGAAUCGCGAUAUGUAAUGUGAAUUGCAGAUCUACAGUGAAUCAUCGAAUCUUUGAACGCACCUUGCGCUCCUCGGUGUUCCGAGGAGCAUGCCUGUUUGAGUGUCAGUAAAUUCUCAACCCCUCUCGAUUUGCUUCGAGCGGGUGCUUGGAUGUUGGGGGCUGCCGGAGACACUGGAUUCGUCCAGGACUCGGGCUCCUCUUAAAUGAAUCGGCUCGCGGUCGACUUUCGACUUUGCAUGACAAGGCCUUUGGCGUGAUAAUGAUCGCCGUUCGCCGAAGUGCAAGACAGAAUGGUCCCGUGCCUCUAAUGCGUCGACGCCUCUAGGGGCGUCUUCCUCAUUGACGUUUGACCUCAAAUCAGGUAGGACUACCCGCUGAACUUAAGCAUAUCAAU
rnacentral:sRNA from 1 species